GACGAACGCUGGCGGCGUGCUUAACACAUGCAAGUCGAACGGAAAGGCCCUGCGUUUGCGGGGUGCUCGAGUGGCGAACGCGUGAGUAACACGUGAGUAACCUGCCCUUGACUGUGGGAUAACUCCAGGAAACUGGGGCUAAUACCCGAUAGGAGCUCCUGCUGCACGGUGGGGGUUGGAAAGUUUCGGCGGUUGGGCAUGGACUCGCGGUUUAUCAGCUUGUUGGGGGGGUAGUGGCUACCAAGGCUUUGCCGGGUAGCCGGCCUGAGAGGGUGACCGGCCACAUUGGGACUGAGAUACGGCCCAGACUCCUACGGGAGGCAGCAGUGGGGAAUAUUGCACAAUGGGCGGGAGCCUGAUGCAGCAACGCCGCGUGCGGGAUGACGGCCUUCGGGUUGUAAACCGCUUUCGCCUGUGACGAAGCGUGAGUGACGGUAAUGGGUAAAGAAGCACCGGCUAACUACGUG
rnacentral:rRNA from 1 species